rnacentral:rRNA from 1 species
GUCCACGCCGUAAACGUUGGGCGCUAGGUGUGGGGUCCUUCCACGACCUCCGUGCCGCAGCUAACGCAUUAAGCGCCCCGCCUGGGGAGUACGGCCGCAAGGCUAAAACUCAAAGGAAUUGACGGGGCCCGCACAAGCGGCGGAGCAUGCGGAUUAAUUCGAUGCAACGCGAAGAACCUUACCAAGGCUUGACAUGCACGGGAAAGUUCCAGAGAUGGUUCCCCCGCAAGGUCCGUGCACAGGUGGUGCAUGGUUGUCGU